rnacentral:rRNA from 1 species
AUUGAACGCUGGCGGCAGGCCUAACACAUGCAAGUCGAACGAGUGGCGGACGGGUGAGUAAUGUCUGGGAAACUGCCCGAUGGAGGGGGAUAACUACUGGAAACGGUAGCUAAUACCGCAUACCAUCGGAUGUGCCCAGAUGGGAUUGGAUAGUAGGUGGGGGAACGGCUCACCUAGGCGACUAUCCCUAGCUGGUAUGAGCGGAUGACCAGCCACACUGGAACUGAGACACGGUCCAGACUCCUACGGGGGGCAGCAGUGGGGAAUAUUGCACAAUGGGCGCAAGCCUGAUGCAGCCAUGCCGCGUGUAUGAAGAAGGCCUUCGGGUUGUAAAGUACUUUCAGCGGGGAGGCGUUACCCGCAGAAGAAGCACCGGCUAACUCCGUGCCAGCAGCCGCGGUAAUUC